rnacentral:rRNA from 1 species
GAGUUUGAUCAUGGCUCAGAAUGAACGCUGGCGGCGUGCUUAACACAUGCAAGUCGCACGAGAACGCUUCAGCUUGCUGGAGCUAGUAAAGUGGCGCACGGGUGAGUAACGCGUGAGUAAUCUACCUCUCGGCGGGGGACAACGUUCCGAAAGGAGCGCUAAUACCGCAUGUGACCGCGGAUUCUUCGGGAUUUGCGGGGAAAGGCGGCCUCUAUUUAUAAGCUGUCACCGAGAGAUGAGCUCGCGGCCCAUUAGCUAGUUGGCGGGGUAAUGGCCCACCAAGGCUAUGAUGGGUAGCUGGUCUUAGAGGAUGACCAGCCACACUGGAACUGAGACACGGUCCAGACUCCUACGGGAGGCAGCAGUCGGGAAUCUUGGACAAUGGGGGAAACCCUGAUCCAGCCACGCCGCGUGGGUGAUGGAGGCCUUCGGGUUGUAAAGCCCUGUCAGAAGGGAAGAAAGGGUCUUGACCUAAUACGUCCGGGCCUUGACGGUACCUUCAGAGGAAGCACCGGCUAACUACGUGCCAGCAGCCGCGGUAAGACGUAGGGUGCAAGCGUUGCUCGGAAUUACUGGGCGUAAAGGGCGCGUAGGCGGCUUGGUAAGCGGGAUGUGAAAGCCCCCGGCUCAAC